UCCGUGUUAACCACGGCAGUCUCUCUAGAGUGCCCAACUGAAUGCUGGCAACUAAAGACAAGGGUUGCGCUCGUUGCGGGACUUAACCCAACAUGUCACCACACGAGCUGACGACAGCCAUGCAGCACCUGUCUCUCUGCUGUAUUGCUACAGAAACUUUAUCUCUAAAGCUGUCAGAGGAUGUCAAACCCAGGUAAGGUUCUUCGCGUUGCUUCGAAUUAAACCACAUGAUCCACCGCUUGUGCGGGCCCCCGUCAAUUCCUUUGAGUUUUAGUCUUGCGACCGUACUCCCCAGGCGGGGCACUUAUUGCGUUAGCUCCGAUUCAGCAAGGGUCAAAUCCCGCUAAAUCUAGUGCCCAUCGUUUACGGCGUGGACUAC
rnacentral:misc_RNA from 1 species